rnacentral:rRNA from 1 species
UACGUAGGUGGCAAGCGUUGUCCGGAAUUAUUGGGGCGUAAAGCGCGCGCAGGCGGUCCUUUAAGUCUGAUGUGAAAGCCCACGGCUCAACCGUGGAGGGUCACUCGAUACUGAUCGACUUGAAGGCGGGAGAGGGAAGCGGAAUUCCCGGUGUAGUGGUGAAAUGCGUAGAUAUCGGGAGGAACACCAGUGGCGAAGGCG